UACGUAGGGGACAAGCGUUGUCCGGAUUUAUUGGGCGUAAAGAGCUCGUAGGCGGCUUGUCGCGUCGGAUGUGAAAGCCCGGGGCUUAACUCCGGGUCUGCAUUCGAUACGGGCAGGCUAGAGUGCGGUAGGGGAGACUGGAAUUCCUGGUGUAGCGGUGAAAUGCGCAGAUAUCAGGAGGAACACCGGUGGCGAAGGCGGGUCUCUGGGCCGUAACUGACGCUGAGGAGCGAAAGCAUGGGGAGCGAACAGG
rnacentral:rRNA from 1 species